rnacentral:rRNA from 1 species
AUGGGGAAUUUUGGACAAUGGGCGCAAGCCUGAUCCAGCAAUGCCGCGUGCAGGAAGAAGGCCUUCGGGUUGUAAACUGCUUUUGUACGGAACGAAACGGUCCGGGUUAAUACCCUGGGCUAAUGACGGUACCGUAAGAAUAAGCACCGGCUAACUACGUGCCAGCAGUCGCGGUAAUACGUAGGGUGCAAGCGUUAAUCGGAAUUACUGGGAGUAAAGCGUGCGCAGGCGGUUUUGUAAGACAGGCGUGAAAUCCCCGGGCUCAACCUGGGAAUUGCCAUUGUGACUGCAUAGCUGGAGUGCGGCAGACGGGGAUGGAAUUCCGCGUGUAGCAUUGAAAUGCGUAGAUAUGCGGAGGAACACCGAUGGCAAAGGCAAUCCCCUGGGCCUGCACUGACGCUCAUGCACGAAAGCGCGGGGAGCAAACAGGAUUAGAAACCCUAGUAGUCC